CAGAGUUGCAAAACUCCCUAAACCAUUGUGAACGUUACCUAAACCGUUGCUUCGGCGGGCGGCCCGGGUCCUUCCCGGCGCCCAUCGGCCCUCGCGGGCGCCCGCCGGAGGUAAACCAAACUAUUGCAUUGUAUGGCCUCUCUGAGUCUUCUGUACUGAAUAAGUCA
rnacentral:misc_RNA from 1 species